rnacentral:rRNA from 1 species
CCCUUAGAUGUUCUGGGCAGCACGCGCGCUACAAUGGUCUUCGCAAACGGAUGCAUUCUCGAAGGAGAAUGCCAAUCUCGGAAUCUAUGCCUUGGUCGGGACAGUUGCUUACAAUUUUUCGACUCGAACCAGGAAUUCCUUGUAAUCGUGAUUCAUCACAUCACGAUGAAUACGUCCCUGCCCUUUGUACACACCGCCCGUCGCCCCUACCGAUCGAAGAGUUAGGUGAAUUGUUUUGAUCGAUAAGAUUUGACUAUGGUCAACUCUCGUUGUGAAAUUCUGUGAAUCUGACUGUUUAGAGGAAGGAAAAGUCGUAACA